rfam:Scytonema millei VB511283 scaffold_7, whole genome shotgun sequence.
GCUAUUCACCAAACAGUGGACAGAGUUAGACAUCUAGUUCUCCUGCUGGACAGAUAGCCAGCUUAAGCAAAAGCUACGUUUUGAGGGUUAUGACACCUACGGGUGCUUUCCAGCUUGUAGCUCUGUCGUCAGAGAUUAAACAGAUGUAUUUGGUUAAGUCAGUGUCUCUGGCAUGACAAGCCCUCAAAACAUUGGCGUUAGCGAAGCGGAACCUCU